rnacentral:sRNA from 1 species
UCCAACAGGAGCUCCGAGAUAUUCGU